rnacentral:rRNA from 1 species
CCUACGGGUGGCAGCAGUGGGGAAUAUUGGGCAAUGGGCGCAAGCCUGACCCAGCAACGCCGCGUGAAGGAAGAAGGCUUUCGGGUUGUAAACUUCUUUUGUCAGGGACGAGUAGAAGACGGUACCUGACGAAUAAGCCACGGCUAACUACGUGCCAGCAGCCGCGGUAAUACGUAGGUGGCAAGCGUUGUCCGGAUUUACUGGGUGUAAAGGGCGUGUAGCCGGGUUGUCAAGUCAGAUGUGAAAUCCUGCGGCUUAACCGGAGAACUGCAUUUGAAACUGUUGAUCUUGAGUACUGGAGAGGCAGACGGAAUUCCUAGUGUAGCGGUGAAAUGCGUAGAUAUUAGGAGGAACACCAGUGGCGAAGGCGGUCUGCUGGACAGCAACUGACGGUGAGGCGCGAAAGCGUGGGGAGCAAACAGGAUUAGAUACCCCAGUAGUC